CAAUAGCGUAUAUUAAAGUUGUUGCGGUUAAAAAGCUCGUAGUUGGAUUUCUGCUGAGGACGAUCGGUCCGCCCACUGGGUGAGUAUCUGGCUCGGCCUUGGCAUCUUCUUGGAGAACGUUGCUGCACUUGACUGUGUGGUGCGGUAUCCAGGACUUUUACUUUGAGGAAAUUAGAGUAUUUCAAGCAGGCGCACGCCUUGAAUACAUUAGCAUGGAAUAAUAAGAUAGGACCUUGGUUCUAUUUUGUUGGUUUCUAGAGCUGAGGUAAUGAUUAAUAGGGAUAGUUGGGGGCAUUCGUAUUUAACUGUCAGAGGUGAAAUUCUUGGAUUUGUUAAAGACGAACUACUGCGAAAGCAUUUGCCAAGGAUGUUUUCAUUGA
rnacentral:rRNA from 1 species